AAAUAUUUUUAACUUUUAAAUGUGAUCAAAGCAAUCUUUUUAAAUUUAUUUGAGUUUUUUUUUUAAUAAAAAUUAAAAUAAUUUGUAAUCAUUUUGGAAUAUUGAAAAAUAUUACAUAUGUGUACACACCGGUAUAAUUAAGAAUUUCAUAAGAUAUUCAAAGAAUUUCUAUUUGUUUAUAAAUUUACAUGCAACUGAUAAAUUCAAAAAAUUAGCAAUGUAAAUUUUCUCGAUUUUGAUGAUUUUGUGAAGUGAAAUUUUAAAAAUUUAAAAUCAAAAGGGGACAACUAAAAAAAGAAGAAGAAUUUUUCUAUAAUUGUUACAAGAGAAGAUAAUCAAAAAUUUAAUUGAGAAUUAAUUGAAAAAAACGAAGCUACUUUUUACAUACAUAUACAUAUUUAUUUUCAAUAAACGAAAAAUUGGAAUCUUCCUGCUUAAUCUGGAUUCUUUAUAGUGAUAUCAUUAAAA